UGGCUUCCUCCUGGUUGGUGGAAGGACUGGUAAAACAUCUUUUAUGAGUGGGGACCUUUGGUGUCCUUCUGGGCCUGGCUGGUUUAGGCAGUAGUAAUUUGUUUAUUUCCUGAUGUACUUAAGACUUUCUUGCUUACUCUUCAGCCUUUAGUGGGGUCUGGGAAAUUAUUGAGGCCUCUCCUGUUGGCUAACUGGCAUUAGGAGCCUUUCUUUUCUUUAUAGUGUAAAGCUUUUGGUAAAGGAUAGGAUGGACAUGGGGCUUGGGGUGAGUCUCUCCCCACCUUUACAGACUAUCGUGUCUAUCUAGAUUUUCUUCCUCAUCUCCUUUCCUCAGGUGCAUUUUCUUUUCCAAAACCUCAUUUCUCAGUUGGGUAUUGAAUCCCAGACAGCUGCUGGAGGGCACUGGUAAACUUGAAGGGAUUUAUUUUCUUUUCUGUCUCUUUUACAGUAGGAAAUGCUACACUUUGGAAAUGCCACGGUAGUUCAUGAUGAGUAGAAGUUAAAGGACAUUUAAAAAUACACAAAUAUUAUGGAUACAGGGAUACACAGUGAGUGGAAAGAGUGUGAUACUUCUAUCAGAAGGCCCAAGUUGAUUUCUGCCUUACCCAUUUUUUGGCUGUUUGACCCUAGAAAAUUGUGUGACCUUUCUGAACCUUAGUUUGCUGAGAGAGAAGGAGAGAAAUUCAUAUUGGGAGUAGUAUAGCUUCAGUAAGAUGACUGUUGCCCGGUACAUAGUAAAGGCUCAGUAAAUUGGAGCUGUCACUUCUGUCACAACAGAAGAGUUAAGUUAGUUUUGAGUGUGGUAUCUGGAGAGGAUAUGGGGGACACCUGGCCCAUCUCUGACCUGGGAAGGAACAGACCUGGCCCUUCUAUGGCCUGGGAAGGAACAGACCCCCCCUCCCAUUCACCAGCCCUUAGGCAAGACACUAAACCAGGAAGUGAAUGAAGCAUCCACACUGUCAAUUUGGUCAACAGACAAGGCCCAGCUGAUUUCACAGUUCAGCUAAAUUAGAGGAUAGAAGGAGGUUCUAAUGUAAAUUCUGUACUGUUGUGACAAAGUGUAAACGUGAUUUUCAAGGCAUUUAGUGUUGUUAGUAUUCUUUGAAAAGUAUUUCCAGGUGGUUGACCGGAGAGAAGGGAGACAGAAAUAAAACAAAGCUGAUGAGUAUAAGAAACAGCACCUGUAGCUUGUGCAGAGCGAAUCUACAGCUAAUACUUGCUUCUUCCGGCUGCUCUGUGGAAUAAGUUUUGUUGUCCUUCCCACUUAAGAGAUGGGGAAAACGAGGUGCAGAGGAGUGAAGCCGCUGCUCAGCUGGGAGAAGGGAGAGCUGGGGUUUCGUGGCUGUCCUGGUCCUCGGGGAUUUCUGAUGUGGAGAGGGAGAGCAGAGAUGCUUGGAAUCACAAGCACUGACAGAAGGCUACUGCCUAGGUGAGUGCUUAGGUGUGUAGUGGAGAUUGUCAGUGUUCUUAGGAGUCCAGAAGAUUCCAGAAGAGCUGGGAGAUAGGACUGGCUUCCUGGAGUCUAGGGGCUAUUCACGAGGGUGCCUGGGAAUUCCACAGGCAGAGAGGAGGACAGCCCGUGCCUGGAGGGCGAUGUGGGCACAUCUGUGUUACCAGUCUGAGUGGAACAGAGGUUGCGGUGGGGGACAGUGGCAAGCUGGGUUUGGGCCUGGGAUAUCAAAAGAUGUCAUCAAAGAUGACAUUGCUCAGCUGACUUCCAGGUUUUAGCUUCUCUGGCCCUUGUUUUACCCACUCAUAAAAUAACACCUCUCAAUGGCUGCGUGGGGCUUGCACCGAAACAGUCCCACCAGCCUAGUUCAGUAGGCCUUCUGAGAGCCUGUGGGUGCCAGGCUCUGGGGUACAAACGUUUAGUAGCUACUCUCAGGGAGCCUUCUGCAGAGGUAACAUGUUCAUCAAAGGUGAGCCGGAGCCGCAAAAGGUUAGGGCAAAGCGUUAGGCUUGUAGUCUCAGGGCUUGGUCAUUACUAUUAUUACUUUCUGGUUGGGGUUUUCUGUCGUUAUC